UCUCAUCUUCUGCACCGUCAGACCCUUCAGUAGCAUCAGAAGCUCUUCUUCGUCACACUUCCUCCCGUCGAAACUUUGGUUUCGGAUCACACGGCCUGAGAAUAACCGAAGCUGGAGAAACAGAUGGUCUUCAAGAAGGUUGCAGUGACUCGGAUUUCCUCACUGAGAAGAGUUGAAACGAGAAGAAGCGAGAGGCUUGCCGCGCCGUUCGACGGGGGAUGGAGCUGGCCACCUUCUCUACUCCUCAUAUCAAACGAAUUUUAAGAGAUCAGGGCCCGAUGUCCGGGAAGGAAAACGAAGACAGUUCAACUAUAUAGUGGCAGCUGCAGCAGCACCUGUCAAAGUACAGGAAAAUGUCCAGGACUAUAUUAGUGUGAUCUGGAAAAUUGGGAAGGAAUUGCAACUUUUGAUCCAACUGUUUGAAUCGAUGUGAAAUUUCAAUUGAAAGUUCAGUACUUUGAAUAUAUAUGGUCAGUUUGGUAUAGAUCAGCCUACAAACAUGUUUCCCAAAGCUUAUAUUGGAAAGGGAUGUGACUGGAGAUCAAACAAUAUGUGGCUGAUGCAAUUUAUGUUAAAAACUCAAACAGGAUUUAGUUCAUCUUGAUUGCUUUCACCCUUUCCAACUCCUAGUUGUAUCUGCCAGAUUUCUUUUUGGACUUCAUUGAUGGAUUUCCAGUUUCUAGGAAAGUGUUGUUGUCAUUGUAAGGGAGAUGUCAAGUAUGCUUAUUUUUCCUCUGAUGCCCCUACUCAACACUAUCCAAGGUUUCUUUUAUUUAUGGAUAAUAUUAUAGGCUU